GUCUCCUUAGCUCAGUGGUAGAUCAGUGCACUUGUAUGACCCAUUGAAUGUAGUUUAUACAAUGCAAAGGCCAGCUGUUCAAUCCGGCUAGGAGGCA